GGGACCCCAGGUCAGGCGGGACYACCCGCUGAGUUUAAGCAU
rnacentral:rRNA from 3 species